rnacentral:rRNA from 1 species
UACGAAGGGGGCUAGCGUUGCUCGGAAUCACUGGGCGUAAAGCGCACGUAGGCGGAUCUUUAAGUCAGGGGUGAAAUCCUGGAGCUCAACUCCAGAACUGCCUUUGAUACUGGGGAUCUCGAGUCCGGAAGAGGUGAGUGGAACUCCGAGUGUAGAGGUGAAAUUCGUAGAUAUUCGGAAGAACACCAGUGGCGAAGGCGGCUCACUGGUCCGGUACUGACGCUGAGGAGCGAAAGCGUGGGGAGCGAACAGG